GGGGAAUAUUGGGCAAUGGGGGGAACCCUGACCCAGCAACGCCGCGUGAAGGAAGAAGGCCUUCGGGUUGUAAACUUCUUUUACCAGGGACGAAGGACGUGACGGUACCUGGAGAAAAAGCCACGGCUAACUACGUGCCAGCAGCCGCGGUAAUACGUAGGUGGCAAGCGUUGUCCGGAUUUACUGGGUGUAAAGGGCGUGUAGGCGGAGCUGCAAGUCAGAUGUGAAAUCUCCGGGCUUAACCCGGAAACUGCAUUUGAAACUGUAGUCCUUGAGUAUCGGAGAGGCAAGCGGAAUUCCUAGUGUAGCGGUGAAAUGCGUAGAUAUUAGGAGGAACACCAGUGGCGAAGGCGGCUUGCUGGACGACAACUGACGCUGAGGCGCGAAAGCGUGGGGAGCAAACAGGAUUAGAUACCCUGGUAGUCCACGCUGUAAACGAUGAAUACUAGGUGUGGGGGGACUGACCCCUUCCGUGCCGCAGUUAACACAAUAAGUAUUCCACCUGGGGAGUACGACCGCAAGGUUGAAACUCAAAGGAAUUGACGGGGGCCCGCACAAGCAGUGGAUUAUGUGGUUUAAUUCGACGCAACGCGAAGAACCUUACCAGGAUUUGACAUCCCACUAACGAAGUAGAGAUACAUUAGGUACCCUUCGGGGGAAGUGGAGACAGGUGGUGCAUGGUUGUCGUCAGCUCGUGUCGUGAGAUGUUGGGUUAAGUCCCGCAACGAGCGCAACCCCUAUUGUUAGUUGCUACGCAAGAGCACUCUAGCGAGACUGCCGUUGACAAAACGGAGGAAGGCGGGGACGACGUCAAAUCAUCAUGCCCCUUAUGUCCUGGGCUACACACGUAAUACAAUGGCGUUUAACAAAGGGAAGCGAAGCCGCGAGGUGGAGCAAAUCCCGAAAAGGCGUCUCAGUUCGGAUUGCAGGCUGCAACCCGCCUGCAUGAAGCUGGAAUUGCUAGUAAUCGUGGAUCAGCAUGCCACGGUGAAUACGUUCCCG
rnacentral:rRNA from 1 species